rnacentral:rRNA from 1 species
AUGGCUUCUGCCGCCCGCGUGCUGACGCCAAUGGCGCUGCUGCUCUCGCUCGUGCUCCAGCUCGCGGCGGCCGCGGUGUCGCCUCCCGGUCCCAGCCCCACCUUCCCGGGCGACGCGGCCGCGCUGGCGUCGCUGAAAGCCGCCGUGGACGCCGCCACCAUCCCGUCCUACUCCUGCCUCGCCUCGUGGGACUUCGCCCGCGACCCCUGCGCCGCCUUCCCCUGCGGCGUCCACUGCAGCACGCCCCCCAACUCGUCCCACCAGCGCGUCGCCGGCGUCUCCCUCGACCCCGCGGGGUACUCCGGCACGCUCCCGGCGGCCGUCCUCGCCUCGCUCCCUUUCCUCCAGACCCUCUCCCUCCGCGGCAACAGCUUCCACGGCGCGCUGCCGGCGGGGGUGGCGCUGCCUCCGAGCCUCCGCGUCCUCGUCCUCUCCGGCAACGACUUCUCCGGCGAGAUACCGGCGUCCCUCUUCACCCCGGCCUCGUCGCUCGACGAGCUCGACCUCUCCCGCAACGCCUUCACCGGCGCGAUACCGCCUCAGGUCGCGUCCUUGGGCGCCCUCACGCGGAUGGAGCUGCAGCACAACCGCCUCACCGGGAACCUGCCGUCGAUGGGCAAGAUGCGCUCCCUCGUCCACCUCGACGUGAGCGACAACCAGCUGACCGGCCCGCUGCUGGACGCGCCCGGGCGGCUGCCUCCGACGCUCCUGGCCGUGGUGGCGCGUGACAACAGGCUCUCUGGGCCGUUGCAGGCCGCGGCGUUCCACGCUCUCCCCGAGAUGCAGGUGCUGGACCUCACCAACAAUGCGGUCACCGGCGCGGUCCCCGGCGCCGCGUUCGAGCACCCGGCGCUGGCGCAGCUGCGGCUGGGAUCCAACCAGCUCGGGACGGUGGAGGAGGCGUCCGGCGGCGGCGUCGCGUCGAGCCAGCUCCUGGAGGUGGACCUCAGCGGCAACAAAAUCACGGGGCGGCUGCCCAGGUGCCUCGGGGCGAUUCCGCGUCUCAGGACGGUGGGGCUCGACCGGAACCGGUUCGUCGGAGGCGUGCCGAAGCAGUACGCCGUGCGCGCCGCGGCGGUGGAGGUCGUCGACGGGAAGGCGCCGUUCGCGAGGCUGAUGCUGCAGGGGAACUACCUCUGCGGAGGCCUGCCGCGUGAGCUGAGGCAGAUGAAGGACGGCGGCGCCAUGGUGAGCCUGGCGGACAACUGCUUGCUCAAGUGUCCGCACAAGUUCUUCUUCUGCCAGGGGCCGCCGCAGAAGAAUCGUGCCGCAUGUCCCAAGUGCGAACCAUGA